UGAGAUAUCAAACAUUUUUCACUUGACUUAGGGGUUAAAUCAAUUCGAUUCAGUCAAGUUUUUUUUUUUAAUUUUCUUAACUGUUCAUUAUAAUUCAAUUCUAUUCGACAAUGUUAUUUGAAAAGAUCAAAUCGAUUGAACUGAGAAUUGACCAUUAUACUAGUGUCACGGACUUAGAGUUUUUCCACACGAUCCGUGCGGCCUUAGGCAGUUUCUUUGCUUAAAAACGCCUAAGUCAGCCUAACUCGCAAUGAUAAAGGAUUCAACAGCAAAAACGCCUAAGUUGGCCUAACUUGCAAUGAUAAAGGAUUCAACAGAAUUCCCUCAAGGCACCCACGAAGAACAACAGAAGAACGAAGCAAGAACGAAUGUUGAAAGAUGAACAAAAGCCACAGAAAAGCAAGAACACUUGAGAGAAAAGUUUGAGUGAAUACUCUCAAAAUUCUU
rnacentral:lncRNA from 1 species